CACACGACUCUCGGCAACGGAUAUCUCGGCUCUCGCAUCGAUGAAGAACAUAGCAAAAUGCGAUACCUAGUGUGAAUUGCAGAAUCCCGCGAACCAUCGAGUUUUUGAACGCAAGUUGCGCCCGAGGCCUUCUGGCUGAGGGCACGCCUGCCUUGGCGUCACGC
rnacentral:rRNA from 1 species